UACGAAGGGGGCUAGCGUUGCUCGGAAUCACUGGGCGUAAAGGGUGCGUAGGCGGGUCUUUAAGUCAGGGGUGAAAUCCUGGAGCUCAACUCCAGAACUGCCUUUGAUACUGAAGAUCUUGAGUUCGGGAGAGGUGAGUGGAACUGCGAGUGUAGAGGUGAAAUUCGUAGAUAUUCGCAAGAACACCCAGUGGCGAAGGCGGCUCACUGGCCCGAUACUGACGCUGGAUGCACGAAAGCGUGGGGAGCAAACAGG
rnacentral:rRNA from 1 species